AUUAAAUCAACCAUUGGGCAUUCUUUGGAUGAAAUAUCAUGUGCUGAUGUGAAAGGUUUUCUAGGCCACCAUUUAAGGAGAAAUUCACAAGAAUGCAUAUGAAGAUCACAGUUGUUUAAAGAUGAAGGAAGUGCCCUGGCUCCUGUGACCUGGUUUUAAACAGCUGCUUCUUCUACUCUCUGUCACAAAGAUCCAGAAGGACACAAGGUGUUUUGUCUCUGAGCUCUGUCCCUGUUGCUGUUUUAUUGAUUUCCAAUUCUGGAAAGUAUUGUAAAAGGGAAACAAGUGACUCUUUACCCUGUCCCCUUUCUUGAUGAUUGGAAUUCAGAUGUGAUGACUGGAGCUUGAGCAGCCAAAUUGGGCCAUGAAGUGGAAGCUAUCUGGCAGAGAAUGGUGGAGCCACAAGUUAAAGGGAGCUUGGGUCUUUCAUGAUUGUGGAGCCACAUAGCACUUCUGAGCUGUCAGUCUUCAGAUUUCUCUUUUCUCAUACAUUAAAUAUUCAUAUCCUUAACUUGA